GUGACUAUGUGUGUCAUCAGUGAAGGAGGAUCAUUCGGGAAGCAUCAUCAAACACCACCUACCGAGUGCCAGGACCUGGGCGACUGGAAGCCUCGCCACAGGGAAGGAAAGGACACUGGCUGAUCUAGUUGCCAAGGCGCCUGACCAGGCCUUAUCUCCAAACAUGCAGGCAUGGUUAGGAGAUGAGAAAUACACUUGUUUGGACAAGAGACUGGAGCAUGGUUCAGUCAGCCUCGGCUGCAUUAUCUGCAAGAGCAAAUGAGCCCUGCCGUUGCCGGGGACCCGCCUCUGCCUUGGCCGGAAGUGUUUGAGUCUGUCUGAAUGGUCUGUUAUCUCCAGGGCAACAUAAAGUUUGCAGGAGGCCUGUUCACUUCAGGUGUUAUCGCUGUCACUGAGAUGGCGCUAAGCCUACAGGCGGCAGGAAGCCAACUGCUACGGCAGAGGUAGCCUUGAGCAGGGAGCCAGGCAGCCCUUCCCGCUCGAACGUGCAGUCGUUCUGCACGUCCUGAUAGAGGGACAUGCCAGACAAACCCUCGGGGUAAUCCCAGCACCAGGAAAAACUUGUCAGUGGGUUUUCUCAGUGUCAUUUUGAGGAUUCCAACCUUGAGGGUUUUGGACUGGGGAUCACACGUUGUUUCAAUCAGAGUGUUAGGAUGAGGAUCUGUCCGGUUCAGGCAUCUCAAGUUAGAAAUGAGAAACCAGACUCAAAAGUCUGACGGUCCUUGGAGGCCGGCUGAGGGGAGGACCUGAGGCUCCCCCUCUCCUUGCAUGUGUACUUCAUUCCACCUUGCUUUUCCCUGCCCCAUGUCAAGAGCAAGCUGGGGCCAAGUUCGGGGCUCCCAGUUGGGCUUUGAG
rnacentral:lncRNA from 13 species